rnacentral:rRNA from 1 species
GAUGAACGCUGGCGGCGUGCCUAAUACAUGCAAGUCGAGCGAAUGGAUUAAGAGCUUGCUCUUAUGAAGUUAGCGGCGGACGGGUGAGUAACACGUGGGUAACCUGCCCAUAAGACUGGGAUAACUCCGGGAAACCGGGGCUAAUACCGGAUAACAUUUUGAACCGCAUGGUUCGAAAUUGAAAGGCGGCUUCGGCUGUCACUUAUGGAUGGACCCGCGUCGCAUUAGCUAGUUGGUGAGGUAACGGCUCACCAAGGCAACGAUGCGUAGCCGACCGUAGAGGGUGAGCGGGCACACUUGUACCGAGACGCGGCCCAGACUCCUACGGGAGGCAGCAGUAGGGAAUCUGCCGCAAUGGACGAAAGUCUGACGGAGCAACGCCGCGUGAGUGAUGAAGGCUUUCGGGUCGUAAAACUCUGUUGUUAGGGAAGAACAAGUGCUAGUUGAAUAAGCUGGCACCUUGACGGUACCUAACCAGAAAGCCACGGCUAACUACGUGCCAGCCGCCGCGGUAA